rnacentral:rRNA from 1 species
UACGGGAGGCAGCAGGGGGGAAUAUUGCACAAUGGGCGCAAGCCUGAUGCAGCCAUGCCGCGUGUAUGAAGAAGGCCUUCGGGUUGUAAAGUACUUUCAGUCGUGAGGAAGGUGUUAAGGUUAAUAACCUUAGCAAUUGACGUUAGCGACAGAAGAAGCACCGGCUAACUCCGUGCCAGCAGCCGCGGUAAUACGGAGGGUGCGAGCGUUAAUCGGAAUUACUGGGCGUAAAGGGCACGCAGGCGGUUAAUUAAGUUGGAUGUGAAAUCCCCGGGCUUAACCUGGGAAUGGCAUUCAAGACUGGUUAGCUAGAGUCUUGUAGAGGGGGUAGAAUUCCAUGUGUAGCGGUGAAAUGCGUAGAGAUGUGGAGGAAUACCGGUGGCGAAGGCGGCCCCUGGACAAAGACUGACGCUCAUGUGCGAAAGCGUGGGGAGCAAACAGGGAUUAGAUACCCGU